GUAGAUAUAGUUUAAUCAAAACGCUGGAUUGUGAUUCCAGAAAUAGGGGUUAAACUCCCCUUAUCCACC
rnacentral:tRNA from 1 species